GUAGCUCCUUUUUUCUUCCUGCAUGUAAAUAUUACUUUCGUACGCUUUGGGUAGCUAAUUUCCAAUACAUUGUUGUAUAUGUGUAUAGACUCUGUGCUACACGUUUUAGGGAUAGGAAGCUUGCUGGCAAGUGUCUAGUGUGUAACAUUAACUAUGAUAUGAAACUUCGAGUCAUUCAACUGCUUUCCGUUACUGUAGUUACCCAGAAUGCUAUCGUUCAAUCAAUUAUUGUGGCUAUUUUGUAGCCUAGCUUUUAUUUUACUAUCACAAUGCACCUAUGCAAAAUACUUAAAAAGCUCAUGUAAUACCUGCAAACAGAUAGCUGAUAACUUCAGUAAGGGAUUGGACCGAACGAAAAAGCAGAACUUUGGUGGAGGAAACACCGCUUGGGAGGAGAGGGCACUUUCCAAAUAUGAGACAAGUGAGAUCCGCCUAGUUGAGAUUCUGGAGAAUCUGUGUGACAGCAGCAGCUUUGACUGUAACCACAUGGUAGAGGAGCACGAGGACCACUUUGAGACCUGGUGGUUCAAGAGGCAAAAUAAGCAUCCUGAUCUGUAUAAGUGGUUUUGCGUUGAUACCAUCAAGGUGUGCUGUUCAACGGGAACGUUUGGCCCUGAUUGUAAUGCCUGUGUGGCGGGUUCUGAGAGGCCUUGCCAUGGCAACGGCGUUUGUGACGGUGAUGGAACACGAGGGGGUAACGGCAGGUGCAACUGUGACCAUGGUUACAAGGGGGAGUUCUGUCUGGACUGCAUGGACGGAUACUUCAAUGAAAUUAGGAACGACACGUUUUCACUAUGCACAGAGUGCCACACCUCCUGCAAGACCUGCACUGGUCUAACCAAUGAGGACUGUGAGAAGUGCAAGACUGGCUGGGGGGAGGAUGAUGAGGGGACCUGUCUUGAUGUGAACGAGUGCUUGAACGACCCUCCUCUCUGCAAAGAGGAUCAGUACUGUCUGAACACGGAUGGCUCGUUCUCCUGUAAAGGCUGUGACGAGGUGUGUUCAGGCUGUACUGGGACAGGGCCUGAUAAGUGCCAGAGCUGUGCUCCUGGGUACCAGGACACAGAGGGCACAUGCACAGAUGUGAACGAGUGUGAGCAGACUGAUGCUGUGUGUACUGCGGAGAACCAGGAGUGUUUUAACAACAAAGGAGGCUACAUCUGUAUCUGUGCCAGCAGGUACGAGGAACAGGAGGGAGUCUGUGUCAAAAUACCAGAGCCAGGUUAAGUACACUGUAGUUACUACUACAGUAACCGUAUACGCUCUAUGAAAUACUGCAGACGCAGUUGUAUCAGAUGACACUUGGUUGACACUGUAUUUGACAGCAGUGCGUGAUCAUGCAAAGGAGAAUGAGGCAGAAAUAGUGAAACAUCCAGAAGAGCACGAAGACCUUUGACCUCAGGAAAUGAACUAAUAGGAACAAACCAGGAAGAGCAUUUGGAGUAAAUUAUGAGGUGGGUGUCACCCGUGAGACUACACCCCUAUAGCUCUCAGAAUAUAUUAAGACCACUCCCUUUAAAGCAUUGCGACUACAUGGCAGUUGAUCACUCGACAUGCAUACUGCACUCUUUACAGAUUUAUACCUGUCGAUCGUGGAUGGACAGCCAACAGAAUGGCUGAUAAAAUUAAAGAUUCAAUCCCCAAAUACUCUUGUUCUUGUUUUUGCUGUGGUUAACCCAAGUGUUGUCUGUUUUUUAAAUUCAUGCAGGAUUUUGAAUGUUAUUCAAAUAAAGUUUGAGAACAGAAAUUA